rnacentral:rRNA from 1 species
GACGAACGCUGGCGGCGUGCUUAACACAUGCAAGUCGAACGGAAAGGCCCUGCUUUUGUGGGGUGCUCGAGUGGCGAACGGGUGAGUAACACGUGAGUAACCUGCCCUUGACUUUGGGAUAACUUCAGGAAACUGGGGCUAAUACCGGAUAGGAGCUCCUGCUGCAUGGUGGGGGUUGGAAAGUUUCGGCGGUUGGGGAUGGACUCGCGGCUUAUCAGCUUGUUGGUGGGGUAGUGGCUUACCAAGGCUUUGACGGGUAGCCGGCCUGAGAGGGUGACCGGCACCAGUGGAGGUGGGGGAUGGGCACGGGUAGUGAGGGGGGCACGAGGGAGGAAUAGUGGGGAAGGGGAGGACACGGGAUGCAACACGGGGGGGUGGGGGCGGACUGGCUGGGGGGGAUGAGCUGGUUCGGCAUGUGGGGAGGCGAGAGUGGAGGUGAGGGGUAAAGGAGGCCGGGCUAAGUACGGAAGGGCAGGGGGGAUAAUAGGCAGACGCGCAGGCGUCUGGAU